CUCAGGCACACUGGAGGUAAGCAGUAGAAAAUAAGAAAGGCAGUAAAUGAGGAUGGCUCCCCAGGUCUACAUGACUAUGUACAAAGAGCAUUUCAGCUCUCCUGGCAGAGCGAAACGAGCAGAACUUCGGCCAACGUCUGCCCACCGCAGGAACAACCCCCAGCCCCGGCCGGACUUUCUGUUUCCCCGGAGUCCUCCAUCAAACUACAGGUCAAGCUGCACUCAACCACAUCCUUUGCUUCCCGUGGACACCGGCCGUCCCCUCUUCCCCCCUGUCAGACAUUUGUCAUUUCAUAGUCCUGUUACAACUUGUCCUGACAACUCUCUAAACACAGCAAAUGCAGGGAAACCACAACACAUGCCCCAUGUCAACCUCUCGGCAGGACAAGCUCUGCCCUCUUCUGACAGACUGCAGAAACUACAGCUGACGGAGCCUCCAUCUGCCACCAACUUGCAGCUCCACACUGCUUUGAAGAACCCCCAGAGGAGAAUGGAUUAUCAGAGGACUGUCCAUCCAAUCUCAGCUCAGCAGCUCCAGCAGAAUGCAGGUGCUCAGCUUCGAACAAGGCCCCAAACUAGCCUCCCUCGUGCAGCUGCUCACAACUUUGCGCAGACUCGAUACAAGCGGUGUUGUUCUAACAGCACUCUGGAUUAUAGUGGUUGCUACAGCUGCUUCCAUGUGGUGAAACCCCACCAAGCCGGACACUACAUCAUCCACCCUGAGUUUGUGUCUGAGUGCCUUUAUUAGGCCUAUUAGAGCACAUGGCAUCCAAAGUGGGGAUCUGGGACCUGCAGAGGUCCUUCAGGGGAACCUGCAGGGGAUUCCCUUAGCAAAAUGAGGGAUUGUUAACUUUUGUUUAAUUCUCUGCUAAUUAACCCAGUGAGACGAGGUGUAAGUGUGAAUUAUGUAGGCUGCACCCUCAUCGCUGUUAUCUCCUCGCGUACGGCAUGGCAACCGCUAAUCAGCACUAAAUCAGCAGCAAAGAUCUUCCUGUAAGAGGCUUGUGAUGAUGAAAUCCAAUGAGGAAUUGUUGCCUUAAUGUGUUGACUGUGACAUUGCAAUUUUAAACAACUACUAAAGUGAUAACUUUCCACAUGUAAUGUAGGAAUUCUUUGUUGCAUGUUUGAAGCCUUAAAAUGGGAAUACAAACAAUUAUUAUAGACUUAUUAUGGGUACUAACUAGUGACACUAUGUGGCAGACAAAUAUGUCACAGUGCAAAUAAAGUGAUUAAAACAGUA